UUCUUGGUCAUUUAGAGGAAGUAAAAGUCGUAACAAGGUUUCCGUAGGUGAACCUGCGGAAGGAUCAUUAAAGAAAUUUAAUAAUUUUGAAAAUGGAUUUUUUUGUUUUGGCAAGAGCAUGAGAGCUUUUACUGGGCAAGAAGACAAGAGAUGGAGAGUCCAGCCGGGCCUGCGCUUAAGUGCGCGGUCUUGCUAGGCUUGUAAGUUUCUUUCUUGCUAUUUCAAACGGUGAGAGAUUUCUGUGCUUUUGUUAUAGGACAAUUAAAACCGUUUCAAUACAACACACUGUGGAGUUUUCAUAUCUUUGCAACUUUUUCUUUGGGCAUUCGAGCAAUCGGGGCCCAGAGGUAACAAACACAAACAAUUUUAUCUAUUCAUUAAAUUUUUGUCAAAAACAAGAAUUUUCGUAACUGGAAAUUUUAAAAUAUUAAAAACUUUCAACAACGGAUCUCUUGGUUCUCGCAUCGAUGAAGAACGCAGCGAGAUGCGAUACGUAAUGUGAAUUGCAGAAUUCCGUGAAUCAUCGAAUCUUUGAACGCACAUUGCGCCCCUUGGUAUUCCAGGGGGCAUGCCUGUUUGAGCGUCAUUUCCUUCUCAAACAUUCUGUUUGGUAGUGAGUGAUACUCUUUGGAGUUAACUUGAAAUUGCUGGCCUUUUCAUUGGAUGUUUUUUUUCCAAAGAGAGGUUUCUCUGCGUGCUUGAGGUAUAAUGCAAGUACGGUCGUUUUAGGUUUUACCAACUGCGGCUAAUCUUUUUUUAUACUGAGCGUAUUGGAACGUCAUCGAUAAGAAGAGAGCGUCUAGGCGAACAAUGUUCUUAAAGUUUGACCUCAAAUCAGGUAGGAGUACCCGCUGAACUUAAGCAUAUCAAUAAGC
rnacentral:rRNA from 1 species